UGGGGAAUAUUGCACAAUGGGCGCAAGCCUGAUGCAGCCAUGCCGCGUGUAUGAAGAAGGCCUUCGGGUUGUAAAGUACUUUCAGCGGGGAGGAAGGGAGUAAAGUUAAUACCUUUGCUCAUUGACGUUACCCGCAGAAGAAGCACCGGCUAACUCCGUGCCAGCAGCCGCGGUAAUACGGAGGGUGCAAGCGUUAAUCGGAAUUACUGGGCGUAAAGCGCACGCAGGCGGUUUGUUAAGUCAGAUGUGAAAUCCCCGGGCUUAACCCGGGAAUUGCAUCUGAUACUGGUCAGCUAGAGUCUUGUAGAGGGGGGUAGAAUUCCAUGUGUAGCGGUGAAAUGCGUAGAGAUGUGGAGGAAUACCGGUGGCGAAGGCGGCCCCCUGGACAAAGACUGACGCUCAGGUGCGAAAGCGUGGGGAGCAAACAGG
rnacentral:rRNA from 1 species